AUUGAACGCUGGCGGCAGGCCUAACACAUGCAAGUCGAGCGGAUGAAGGGAGCUUGCUCCUGGAUUCAGCGACGGACGGGUGAGUAAUGCCUAGGAAUCUGCCUGGUAGAGGGGGAUAACGUCCGGAAACGGGCGCUAAUACCGCAUACGUCCUGAGGGAGAAAGUGGGGGAUCUUCGGACCUCACGCUAUCAGAUGAGCCUAGGUCGGAUUAGCUAGUUGGUGGGGUAAAGGCCUACCAAGGCGACGAUCCGUAACUGGUCUGAGAGGAUGAUCAGUCACACUGGAACUGAGACACGGUCCAGACUCCUACGGGAGGCAGCAGUGGGGAAUAUUGGACAAUGGGCGAAAGCCUGAUCCAGCCAUGCCGCGUGUGUGAAGAAGGUCUUCGGAUUGUAAAGCACUUUAAGUUGGGAGGAAGGGCAGUAAGUUAAUACCUUGCUGUUUUGACGUUACCAACAGAAUAAGCACCGGCUAACUUCGUG
rnacentral:rRNA from 1 species